rnacentral:sRNA from 1 species
GCUGGGCAUGGUGGUGCAUGCCUAUAAUCCCAGCGGCUCAUGAGGCUGAGGCAGGAAGAUCGCGAGUUCAAAGCUAGCCUCAGCAAUUUAGCAAGACCUUUAGUGAGACCCUGCCUUUA